AUGGACCUACGGGACGCAGCAGUCGAGAAUCAUUCACAAUGGGGGAAACCCUGAUGGUGCGACGCUGCGUGGGGGAAUGAAGGUCUUCGGAUUGUAAACCCCUGUCAUGUGGGAGCAAAUUAAACAGAUAGUACCACAAGAGGAAGAGACGGCUAACUCUGUGCCAGCAGCCGCGGUAAUACAGAGGUCUCAAGCGUUGUUCGGAAUCACUGGGCGUAAAUCGUGCGUAGGCUGUUUCGUAAGUC
rnacentral:rRNA from 1 species